rnacentral:sRNA from 1 species
GCUGGGCAUGGUGGCGUGUGCCUGUAAUCCCAGCUACAGGGAGGCGGAGGCAGGAGAAUCACUUGAACUCGGGAGACAGAGGUUGCGGUGAGAUUGCACCACCGCACUACAGCCUGGGCAACAGAGUGAGACUCUGUCUCUU